rnacentral:misc_RNA from 1 species
GAUGAAGAACGUAGCGAAAUGCGAUACUUGGUGUGAAUUGCAGAAUCCCGUGAACCAUCGAGUCUUUGAACGCAAGUUGCGCCCGAAGCCACUAGGCCGAGGGCACGCCUGCCUGGGCGUCACACGCCGUUGCCCCCCCAUCUACUCCUUCGGGAUUGCGGGGGGGCGGAUGAUGGCCUCCCGUGCGCCUAGCCGCGCGGUUGGCAUAAAUACCAAGUCCUCGGCGACGCACGCCACGACAAUCGGUGGUUGCGAAACCUCGGUUGCCUGUCGUGUGCGGUCGUCGCGCAUCGAGGGCUCGAAAAAAUUGCCGGGCUUCGGCUCGGCUUUCAACGCGACCCCAGGUCAGGCGGGGUUACCCGCUGAAUUUAAGCAUAUCAAUAAGCGGAGGA